UUUCUACUCUUUGAAAAUCUUUACUGCUUUUUGCAGCAGAGAAGAAAUAGCAUGGACCCCACUGAAAUAUGUAACUGCUAUGGGCUAGGGUUACUAGGAAUAAGAAUGUGUGGUAACCUGGCAGUGCAGAGCCUGUGCUGACCAAAGCUAGUACAAUUAUUUGCUGGUUUAACUUUGCUGGUUAAAUUUAGUGGGCUUUUGCAGGGAGUAGUGAUGUGAAUAAAGAUGCCAUUGGGGGUAAGGUCUGAAAUGCUGAGGUCUGGUCCACCUCAAAGGAGAAACAAAAGUAACAAUACGAAGCUUCUCAAAGCAUGUACUGUUUGUGAUGAUUAAUUCUAAUCAAUGGGAAUCUCUCUGAAAGAGGCUGAGGAGGACUCUUGUGCUGAAACAGUACUCACAUUCAAACUAAUUCUUGAGGCACUUCCAAGGAGAAUGUGUUAAUAGAAUUUCACUUGUUACAGGGUGAAGCUCAUGAGUUCGUGUGAGAAACAAGACUAACUCAUGUCUGAGGAAAGGACUGUGCCGUCUGCAGCCUCAUUGGGUAAGACCACACAGCAGAUGGAUUCUGUUAAAAAAUUAUGGGGUUAUUUGUAGCCAUUGAUGAAAUUUGAUUCUGCCAAAUGAAUUACUGUGAUAUUACACUUUCCGUUCCACUUUUCUCUGAGGUUACAAAGUUGCUGUGGAGGUUUUUAGGGUUGUGCUACUGCAAGAUUUAACUGUAGUUUCUUACUCUAGGUGAGAAGGCAACUUUGAAAUUACUCUAUGAAGAACUGAAGGUGAGUAUAGCUAGUACUGAUGAAAUUUAUUUGCUGGAAUGAAUGAUGAUAACCUUAGCUUGAACUCUCUCACUGAAUAGAGAUGAAAAUCUAAGGUCUGAAUUGUUCCAAGCAAGUUUAUUGUGCUGCUCUGAUGUCUUAUAAUGGUUCUUCUGUCUGUCUUAAUAGGUGGGAGACUGCAGAAUAAUGCAUUGCACUUGCAUGAACAGCACUAAAAGAGUUCUUUUACCACACCAGUUAUGUUUCACUGAUACUGAUUGGUACCAAUAAAAACCUGUAAACUCUA